AGCAGCUAAUGAAUGGGCGCGCCCGUCGCGCUGUCCGCAGCCCGCGGGCCCGCGCAGCGCAGCGCGGAGCCGGCGCCUCAGGUCUCUGAUGGGCCUAGAGUUUGGAGCGAGAACUGGGAAGCAGAGCUCUAGAAGCAUGGAGACCAUACGUGGCCAUGGUCAUUGUCUCUUCACCCCAUGUCUGCACUUUUUAUGUACCUGACUUCAAAUACUUUAGUUUCUACUUCGGGUUGACCUACUGAGAGGAGGACAUAGGAAAUGAAGGACUGUGUGUGCCCUCAAGAUGGUGGGGCUCCUGUCUUGGAGAAGAGGAAGAAGUCUAUGCUGCACGCAUUGGUGUAUACAACAAGAAGUAUUUGGUUGCAGUACUCCUACAGAACAGCACUCCAUGCCCUGUGACAGUGUGCUUGUGUGAGCUUUCCAGUGACAUUC